ACAAAAACAAAAACUAACUAAUGACCAACUCGGAAAGGUAUUAUGGUUUACAGAGAAUUAGUUUAACCCUAACCCAAAUACUUGGUUCUGGUAAACACGUAGUGGCAGUUUUUAUUAGGGAGUUUUUCUUCAGUAGCUGUCUCUUAGCAGGUCAACGAACAAAAGCUACAAUCAAAAGGGCUAUUUUAAAAAAUGAUGGUGUUUGUAAA